UACGGAGGGUGCGAGCGUUGUCCGGAAUCAUUGGGCGUAAAGGGCGCGUAGGUGGCCCGGUCAGCGUGCGGUGAAAGCUCGGGGCUCAACUCCGGAUCUGCGGUGGGUACGGGCAGACUAGAGUGAUGUAGGGGAGACGUGGAAUUCCUGGUGUAGCGGUGAAAUGCGUAGAUAUCGGGAGGAACACCAGUGGCGAAGGCGACUACCUGGCCUGGUAUUGACGCUGAGGUGCGAAAGCGUGGGGAGCAAACAGGG
rnacentral:rRNA from 1 species